GACGAACGCUGGCGGCGUGCUUAACGCAUGCAAGUCGAGCGAUGAAGCACCUUCGGGUGUGAAUUAGCGGCGAACGGGUGAGGAACACGUGAAGAAUCUGCCUUCAACUCUGGGAUAACUCCGGGAAACCGGGGCUAAUACCGGAUAUGAGCCUUGAUCGCAUGAUCGGGGCUGGAAAGUUUUUCGGUUGAAGAUGACUUCGCGGCCUAUCAGCUUGUUGGUGAGGUAAUGGCUCACCAAGGCGACGACGGGUAGCCGGCCUGAGAGGGCGACCGGCCACACUGGGACUGAGACACGGCCCAGACUCCUACGGGAGGCAGCAGUGGGGAAUAUUGGGCAAUGGAGGAAACUCUGACCCAGCGACGCCGCGUGAGGGAUGAAGGCCUUCGGGUUGUAAACCUCUUUCGGUAGGGAAGAAGCGAAAGUGACGGUACCUACAGAAGAAGCACCGGCUAACUAUGUGCCAGCCGCCGCAGUAA
rnacentral:rRNA from 1 species